rnacentral:rRNA from 1 species
GACGGGCGGCUCUUACCAUGCAGUCGAACGAUGAAGCCCAGCUUGCUGGGUGGAUUAGUGGCGAACGGGUGAGUAACACGUGGGUGAUCUGCCCUGCACUUCGGGAUAAGCCUGGGAAACUGGGUCUAAUACCGGAUAGGACCUCGGGAUGCAUGUUCCGGGGUGGAAAGGUUUUCCGGUGCAGGAUGGGCCCGCGGCCUAUCAGCUUGUUGGUGGGGUAACGGCCCACCAAGGCGACGACGGGUAGCCGGCCUGAGAGGGCGACCGGCCACACUGGGACUGAGACACGGCCCAGACUCCUACGGGAGGCAGCAGUGGGGAAUAUUGCACAAUGGGCGCAAGCCUGAUGCAGCGACGCCGCGUGAGGGAUGACGGCCUUCGGGUUGUAAACCUCUUUCAGUACCGACGAAGCGCAAGUGACGGUAGGUACAGAAGAAGCACCGGCCAACUACGUGCCAGCAGCCGCGGUAAUACGUAGGGUGCGAGCGUUGUCCGGAAUUACUGGGCGUAAAGAGCUCGUAGGCGGUUUGUCGCGUCGUCUGUGAAAACCCGCAGCUCAACUGCGGGCUUGCAGGCGAUACGGGCAGACUUGAGUACUGCAGGGGAGACUGGAAUUCCUGGUGUAGCGGUGAAAUGCGCAGAUAUCAGGAGGAACACCGGUGGCGAAGGCGGGUCUCUGGGCAGUAACUGACGCUGAGGAGCGAAAGCGUGGGUAGCGAACAGGAUUAGAUACCCUGGUAGUCCACGCCGUAAACGGUGGGCGCUAGGUGUGGGUUUCCUUCCACGGGAUCCGUGCCGUAGCUAACGCAUUAAGCGCCCCGCCUGGGGAGUACGGCCGCAAGGCUAAAACUCAAAGGAAUUGACGGGGCCCGCACAAGCGGCGGAGCAUGGUGGAUUAUUCGAUGCACGCGAGACUUUACCUGGGUUUGACAUACACGGACCGCCCAGAGAUGGGGUUUCCUUGUGUCGUGUACAGUGUGCAUGCCUGUCGUCAGCUCGUGUCGUGAAUGGUGGUAGUCCGGCACGAGCGCAUCCUUGGUCUGUGUUGCCAGCACGUAUUGUGGCAACUCGCAGGAACUGCUGGGUCACUCGAGCAGUUGGAGCACGUCAGUCACUAUGUCCUAUGUCAGCUUUCAACAUGUCGUUUUCAG